rnacentral:tRNA from 3 species
UGGGAGGUCGUCUAACGGCAGGACCGGGGCCUUUGAAGCCCCUGAUGAAGGUUCGACCCCUUCCCUCCCAGCCA